CGCAGCCGCGGUAAUUCCAGCUCCAAUAGCGUAUAUUAAAGUUGUUGCAGUUAAAAAGCUCGUAGUUGAAUUUCGGGAUUGACGUGACGGUCGUGCCUUACGGGGUAUGAACUGUUGCAGUCAAUUUCUCACCUUCUGGAGAAAUAUGAUGUCCUUAAUUGGGUGUCAUAUGGAACCAGGACCUUUACCUUGAAAAAAUUAGAGUGUUUAAAGCAAGCAUAUUGCUCGAAUACAUUAGCAUGGAAUAAUAAAAUAGGACGGCUUGAUUCUAUUUUGUUGGUUUCUAGGAUCACCGUAAUGAUUAAUAGGGAUAGUUGGGGGCAUUAGUAUUCAAUUGUCAGAGGUGAAAUUCUUGGAUUUAUUGAAGACUAACUACUGCGAAAGCAUUUGCCAAGGAUGUUUUCAUUAAUCAAGAACGAAAGUUAGGGGAUCGAAGACGAUCAGAUACCGUCGUAGUCUUAACCAUAAACUAUGCCGACUAGGAAUCAGGCGAUGUUAAUUUUUUAAUGUACUCGUUUGG
rnacentral:rRNA from 1 species